GACGGGUGAGUAACACGUAGGCAACCUGCCUGUAAGACUGGGAUAACUACCGGAAACGGUAGCUAAGACCGGAUAGCUGGUUUCUCCGCAUGGAGAGAUCAUGAAACACGGUGCAAGCUGUGACUUACAGAUGGGCCUGCGGCGCAUUAGCUAGUUGGCGGGGUAACGGCCCACCAAGGCGACGAUGCGUAGCCGACCUGAGAGGGUGAUCGGCCACACUGGGACUGAGACACGGCCCAGACUCCUACGGGAGGCAGCAGUAGGGAAUCUUCCGCAAUGGGCGCAAGCCUGACGGAGCAACGCCGCGUGAGUGAUGAAGGUUUUCGGAUCGUAAAGCUCUGUUGCCAAGGAAGAACACUUGGGAGAGUAACUGCUCCUAAGAUGACGGUACUUGAGAAGAAAGCCCCGGCUAACUACGUGCCAGCAGCCGCGGUAAUACGUAGGGGGCAAGCGUUGUCCGGAAUUAUUGGGCGUAAAGCGCGCGCAGGCGGUCUUUUAAGUCUGGUGUUUAAGCCCGGGGCUCAACCCCGGUUCGCAUCGGAAACUGGAAGACUUGAGUGCAGGAGAGGAAAGCGGAAUUCCACGUGUAGCGGUGAAAUGCGUAGAGAUGUGGAGGAACACCAGUGGCGAAGGCGGCUUUC
rnacentral:rRNA from 1 species